rnacentral:rRNA from 1 species
AGAGUUUGAUCCUGGCUCAGAUUGAACGCUGGCGGAAUGCUUUACACAUGCAAGUCGAACGAUGAACCUUAGCUUGCUAAGGGGAUUAGUGGCGAACGGGUGAGUAAUAUAUCGGAACGUGCCUUGUAAUGGGGGAUAACUAGUCGAAAGAUUAGCUAAUACCGCAUACGCCCUGAGGGGGAAAGUAGGGGAUCUUCGGACCUUACGUUAUAAGAGCGGCCGAUAUCUGAUUAGCUAGUUGGUGGGGUAAUGGCCUACCAAGGCGACGAUCAGUAGCUGGUCUAAGAGGACGACCAGCCACACUGGAACUGAGACACGGUCCAGACUCCUACGGGAGGCAGCAGUGGGGAAUUUUGGACAAUGGGCGAAAGCCUGAUCCAGCCAUUCCGCGUGAGUGAAGAAGGCCUUCGGGUUGUAAAGCUCUUUCGCAAGGGAAGAAAACUUACAUUCUAAUAAAGUGUGAGGCUGACGGUACCUUGAUAAGAAGCACCGGCUAACUACGUGCCAGCAGCCGCGGUAAUACGUAGGGUGCGAGCGUCAAUCGGAAUUACUGGGCGUAAUGCGUGCGCAGGCGGUUUGGCAAGUCAGAUGUGAAAUCCCCGAGCUCAACUUGGGAACUGCGUUUGAAACUGCCAGACUAGAAUAUGUCAGAGGGGGGUAGAAUUCCACGUGUAGCAGUGAAAUGCGUAGAGAUGUGGAGGAAUACCAAUGGGCGAAGGCAGCCCCCUGGGAUAUAUUGACGCUCAUGCACGAAAGCGUGGGGAGCAAACAGGAUUAGAUACCCUGGUAGUCCACGCCCUAAACGAUGUCUACUAGUUGUUGGUGGGAGUAAAAUCCAUGGAGUACGCCAGCUAACGCGUGAAGUAGACCGCCUGGGGGAGUACGGUCGCAGAUUUAAACUCAAAGGAAUUGACGG